rnacentral:piRNA from 1 species
UAAGUUCCAAUGCACCAUCCCUAAUACC